AUUGAACGCUGGCGGCAUGCUUUACACAUGCAAGUCGAGCGGCAGCGCGGGGCAACCUGGCGGCGAGCGGCGAACGGGUGAGGAAUGCAUCGGAACGCACCCGGAAGUGGGGGAUAACGCCGCGAAAGCGGCGCUAAUACCGCAUAUUCUGUGCGCAGGAAAGUGGGGGACCGCAAGGCCUCACGCUUUCGGAGCGGCCGAUGUCCGAUUAGCUAGUUGGUGGGGUAACGGCCUACCAAGGCGACGAUCGGUAGCUGGUCUGAGAGGAUGAUCAGCCACACUGGGACUGAGACACGGCACAGACUCCUACGGGAGGCAGCAGUGGGGAAUUUUGGACAAUGGGCGCAAGCCUGAUCCAGCAAUGCCGCGUGCAGGAAGAAGGCCUUCGGGCUGUAAACUGCUUUUGUACGGAACGAAACGGUCUGGGUUAAUACCCUGGGCUAAUGACGGUACCGUAAGAAUAAGCACCGGCUAACUACGUGCCAGCCGCCGCCGUAACAC
rnacentral:rRNA from 1 species